GGUAAUUUUCCGCAAUGGGCGAAAGCCUGACGGAGCAAGACCGCGUGGGGGAAGAAGGCUCUUGGGUUGUAAACCCCUUUUCUCUGGGAAGAAAGUUGUGAAAGCAACCUGACGGUACCAGAGGAAUCAGCAUCGGCUAACUCCGUGCCAGCAGCCGCGGUAAGACGGAGGAUGCAAGCGUUAUCCGGAAUGAUUGGGCGUAAAGCGUCCGCAGGUGGCAGUUCAAGUCUGCUGUCAAAGACCGGGGCUUAACCUCGGAAAGGCAGUGGAAACUGAACAGCUAGAGUAUGGUAGGGGCAAAGGGAAUUCCUGGUGUAGCGGUGAAAUGCGUAGAGAUCAGGAAGAACAUCGGUGGCGAAGGCGCUUUGCUGGACCAUAACUGACACUCAGGGACGAAAGCUAGGGGAGCGAAUGGGAUUAGAUACCCCAGUAGUCCUAGCCGUAAACGAUGGAUACUAGGUGUUGUCUGUAUCGACCCGGACAGUGCCGUAGCUAACGCG
rnacentral:rRNA from 1 species